GCCUCGCAGCUUCCUCACCUCGCCCUCCAACCACAAGCCCUCCAGAGCUCUCUGGAUCUUAAAAAAUAAAAAAUAAAUGUCACAUUUUUGUCAUCUGUGUAUGUUUCCCAUACUUGACAGACGAAAUUUGUCUCUGCAUUUAACCCAACCACCACCAGGUGGUGCAGUGGGCAGCCGUGGUCAGCGGCCCGGGGAGCUCAGCAGA
rnacentral:lncRNA from 1 species